CUCUUUUAUGGUGGUUACAUAAUCAAGUGUUUCUGUGAUUUUUAAAAAUAGGCUAUUAAAGUAUGGGUCUUGUGAAAACAAAAUAGAUCACAGAGGUAAUUAAAUUUAUAGGUGAGGCUUCACGUGUGGGGCAUUUGUAUGGGAUUUAUAACUGGAUCCUUGGACUCCAUUUCACACCAGCAGGAGCGCGAAGCUCCCUUCACACAAAUGCAUUUAUGUUUGAGGUUGAGGAUGGGCAGGAAGUAUGGAAGUCUAAAUUCUGAGUCCUUGGAUGGGUAAGGACACACUUGUCCUUUUGGAUACAUAGUGAGUUGUCCUUCAGGUGAAGCUUCCUGUACAAGGGGCAGGAUUCUCUAACACCAGCAGAGAGCAUGCUCCAGCUACUCUGCUCUUCCUCCUCCUCUGCACCCUUGCUUAUGAGAAAAUUCUCUUAGCUACCUUUCUGGAAGAAGACUAAGGCCCAGUCUCAAUGCAUCAAUGAACGUUGUUUCCUUUAUUUGCUUGAUUUGUUUGUAUCUUUUGCCCUUGGGAAAACUAUUGGGUGCAAGGCCAACAUCAUUCUACACUGAAUAAGAAUCAUCUUGAACUUGAGGCACUGUGGUUGAGACCACAUAUUGUUAUUGCAAGUGGUUUCCUGGGGCCAUUGGUUUGUAAAUUUUUUUUCAGGGUUGCCAUAAUAAAUUAUUACAAACUGGGUGGUUUGGAAUAAGGGAAAUCUGUCUUCAGGCAGUUCUGGAGGCCAGACAUCCCAGACCAAGGUGCUGGGGGGGUGUUUCUUCUGGAGGCUCUGAGGGAGAGUUCUCUUCCAGCCUUUCCCCGAGUUCCUUAGAUGAGGCGACUAAGCGCAGGCCUCAGCCUCUCUCAGUGCCUCUCCUUGGGUUCUGUUGUCUUGUUCCCCUUCUCUUCUAAGGACACUGGUCACUGGACUUAUGGCCUACCCUCACCCACAGUGAUUUCAUCUGGAUCUCCUUCACUUAAUUUUCUCUGCAAAGACUCUUUUCCCAAAUAAAGUCCUAUAUCCACAUAAGGAGCACUAAAGAGUCUGGAUGGACAUACUUUUGGGGGACAUCAAUCAACAAACUACAGUUAUGUUCUACCAU
rnacentral:lncRNA from 1 species